rnacentral:rRNA from 1 species
GGAACGUAACCCCCGGGAACGUGGGGGGAGUAACGCCGCGAAAGCGGCGCUAAUACCGCAUAUGCUCUGAGGAGGAAAGUGGGGGACCUGCAAGGGCCUCACGCUCUGGGAGCGGCCGAUGUCCGAUUAGCUAGUUGGUGAGGUAAUGGCUCACCAAGGCGACGAUCGGUAGCUGGUCUGAGAGGAUGAUCAGCCACACUGGGACUGAGACACGGCCCAG